rnacentral:rRNA from 1 species
AGAUAAGUAAGUAAGGGCGCACGGUGGAUGCCUUGGCACUAGAAGCCGAUGAAGGACGUUACUAACGACGAUAUGCUUUGGGGAGCUGUAAGUAAGCUUUGAUCCAGAGAUUUCCGAAUGGGGAAACCCAGCAUGAGUUAUGUCAUGUUAUCGAUAUGUGAAUACAUAGCAUAUCAGAAGGCACACCCGGAGAACUGAAACAUCUUAGUACCCGGAGGAAGAGAAAGAAAAUUCGAUUCCCUUAGUAGCGGCGAGCGAAACGGGAAGAGCCCAAACCAACAAGCUUGCUUGUUGGGGUUGUAGGACACUCUAUACGGAGUUACAAAGG